GACGAACGCUGGCGGCGCGCUUAACACAUGCAAGUCGAACGGAAAGGCCUGCUUUCCCUUGUGGCUUGGGGGUACUCGAGUGGCGAACGGGUGAGUAACACGUGAGUGAUCUGCCCCCAACUUGGGUAUAAGCCUGGGAAACUGGGUCUAAUUCCCGAUAGGACUGCAGGGUGGUGCCUGUGGUGGAAAACGAUUUUCUAGUGGUUGGGGAUGAGCUCGCGGCCUAUCAGCUUGUUGGUGGGGUAAUGGCCUACCAAGGCGGCGACGGGUAGCCGGCCUGAGAGGGUAGACGGCCACAUUGGGGCUGAGAUGCCGCCCAGACUCCUACGGGAGGCAGCAGUGGGGACUAUUGCACAAUGGGCGGAAGCCUGAUGCAGCGACGCCGCGUGGGGGAUGACGGCCUUCGGGUUGUAAACUCCUUUCGACCGCGAGGAAGCCACCUGGUUGGAAGGGUGGUGACGGUAGUGGUAGAAGAAGCACCGGCUAACUACGUG
rnacentral:rRNA from 1 species